CCCUGUGGAGGCCUGUAAGAAAGAAACAGCUUGAGGAUUAUAUUCCUUUCUAUUUUCUUUUGAGAGUUUCCUACACAGUUACAACAGCUGGAGACUGGAAAGUAACCAGAAGGACUAGGCCCUUCUCUUUGACAUUGGCUAAGUUGCCAAAACCCCAGCAAAGAAAAAACCCACAAUCCUAUAAUUAAUCCCACAUAAACUGUUGUUGCCCUGGAGUAUGGAAAGAAAACUACAGAUUAGAAGUGGUGGACAUGUAUGGUGACCUGUCUGGAGGGCUGAGUCAUUAAGAAGAGGCUGUGGCUCUUGGAGUGAGAGGGGUCUGCGGAGUGAGAGGAUGAUGGGAGAGAGACUGCUGGAGGAGGGUGCAACACCUUGCUAGACCUAAUCCCCAGGACGGCUAGGAAGAAGUGCCACCAGCUAUGAGUGGGACCACAAGAAACAGACAAGGCAUGGGGAAACAACAAAGUACCUCAACGAAUUACAGAAUUGCAACUCUCUUUGAGGAAGAGGAUGGAUAUGUUCCGGAUACCCCUUCACCUAGACCUCUCUGCUCCUACUCAGGAUAAAACCUCAAUGACUUCUUGGGGGAUGAUUUUAAGACUUAAAAACUCUUGGAGAGAAUAGCAGAUGUCCUAGAACUUCCUUUGGCACUGAUUCAGUAGAAGACAAAGUUAUUUGUUAUCUUACUACCAUGCUCAGAACAAAAUAGCUCUUCCAAUUAAUAAAGAAAUUCUUGAUCCUGCUGAGGAAUUAUGGGCUAUCCUAUCGCACAAACUUUGAAAAGGGCUGAAUAAAAAGAUCAAGU